rnacentral:rRNA from 1 species
UACGUAGGGUGCUAGCGUUGUCCGGAUUUAUUGGGCGUAAAGAGCUCGUAGGCGGUCUGUCGCGUCGGCUGUGAAAACCCGGAGCUCAACUCCGGGCCUGCAGUCGAUACGGGCAGACUGGAGUUCGGCAGGGGAGACUGGAAUUCCUGGUGUAGCGGUGAAAUGCGCAGAUAUCAGGAGGAACACCGGUGGCGAAGGCGGGUCCCUGGGCCGAUACUGACGCUGAGGAGCGAAAGCGUGGGGAGCGAACAGG